AUCUCUUCUUGGCCUUUUGGCUAAGAUCAAGUGUAGUAAAUGUUUUAGUCUUUGGAUAGGCUCAGUGCUUUCUGGUGUGACAUGUCGCCAUUAACUGGAACACAGUUCUUGGUCCUGUCUUCUACCCCCAAACUUAAUGCCUU
ensembl:snRNA U2 U2 spliceosomal RNA